rnacentral:lncRNA from 1 species
ACGAAAGCUAGAUGAGAAAGGAGAAAGACAUCCAGGGGAGGCUGGAAAGAGGAAGUUGAUGGUAACCAGUUAAACUGACUCUUUUGUUCUCUUGAUGUAGUUGUGAAAAGGAUUUGAUAUCAUGGAAGUCUGGUUAAAGAUGAGACCGGGCAGUUAACUAUGGCUGCAUAGAUGGUGCCUGUCCAGAAGUCUACAGAGGGAUAGCCAUUCUCCUCAGGAACAUGGGCAAAGACCUUUUGUCUGAUUCUGUUAUUCCAGACACACUGUCGAGAGGACUGGUCACAGGACUCAUGGAAAGGAGUGGAAAUAAAGCUUCCAGGACAACUGAUGCCUGUAAACAGACCUUUGGAAACCUAAGGCAUGGCUGCAAUUUCUCAGGAAGAUGAUAGAAAAGCGGAGUUGGGGACUGGUCCCAGGCUGGCCCAGGAGGAUGGCGCACACAGAGGCAGGGCUGCUGACAGUGGAGCUUUCAGGAGGAAAAAACCAGAAACACUAUGAGACUGCUCUCUUCUGUGUCCAAGGGCAUCUCGAGGGAUGAAGGCUCACAGAUGACGUCAGGGGCCGGCCUAGGGCAGUCAGGCCUUGUCCCCCCAGACAAGGGCAAGAUUGCAACAAGAAAAUCCGGUAAAUAAUGUUUUAAAGGCCAGGCAACGUAAGCCUGGGCCGCAUCCCUGAGGCUAAUCCAGUCUCCCAAGAGGAGCCUGGUGAGAGCUGGAACUAGACAGAUGGCCAGGGAGAAGCUAGAACAGAUGUCAAAGUGUCAAAGCCACAGAGAUGUGAUUCCAUGUGUCAGUCACACGGUAGAGUCACAGCCUGUAGACUGUAAUUUCCAGAAUGCUUGUCCUUCUAGCCCCAGCUUGAUGCUCACCUGCGGAAGUUAAGCAACCUCUCUCCAGCCUCAGCAUCCUCCACUUUAAACCAAAGAUGGUGAAAGUGCCCACCGCAAGGCCUGUGUGAGGAUGAGCAGCGAUCAGAUCAUAAAUACCCGGGGAGGGCAGCUAGCACUAUGGAUGCAGGACUUUUUAGAUAGCUCUGUGCCCCCUCAUCCUGGGCCACAUUUACA